AGUGAACGCUGGCGGUAGGCCUAACACAUGCAAGUCGAACGGCAGCACAGUAAGAGCUUGCUCUUACGGGUGGCGAGUGGCGGACGGGUGAGGAAUACAUCGGAAUCUACUUUUUCGUGGGGGAUAACGUAGGGAAACUUACGCUAAUACCGCAUACGACCUACGGGUGAAAGCAGGGGAUCUUCGGACCUUGCGCGAUUGAAUGAGCCGAUGUCGGAUUAGCUAGUUGGCGGGGUAAAGGCCCACCAAGGCGACGAUCCGUAGCUGGUCUGAGAGGAUGAUCAGCCACACGGGAACUGAGACACGGUCCAGACUCCUACGGGAGGCAGCGGUGGGGAAUAUUGGACAGUGGGCGCAAGCCUGAUCCAGCCAUACCGCGUGGGUGAAGAAGGCCUUCGGGUUGUAAAGCCCUUUUGUUGGGAAAGAAAAGCAGAAGGUUAAUACCCCGCUGUUCUGACGGUACCCAAAGAAUAAGCACCGGCUAACUCCGU
rnacentral:rRNA from 1 species